rnacentral:lncRNA from 1 species
CCUGAGGUCAUAUUUGAACCCAGAACCUCCCAUGUCUGAGUCUCAGUCCUCUGGGCCAUCUAGGCACCUCUCAAUUGGGUGCCUGGAAGGAUAGUGACAUGAUAUUCAAAGUCACACCUCUAGUUCGGUCAUCUCCUUUCAUAGAUAAGGAAACUGAGGCAAAGAAUGACUCACAGCCAUUAAGUCUCUGAGGCAGGAUUUGAAUCCUGGUGGAACCCUCUGAUUCUAAAUCUCUUUCUCUUUGUACUACACAAUACUGCCUGACUGGGUAGGGGAACUACUUCUAUUCCUUAUUACUACUGUUGCCAGGGACUCUGACAUUUAUUUCCUGUUUGUUUGUCUGCAGGAAGUGAAGGACAGGACUGGGGAAGGGGUUGCAGGAGGAGCAGGAGAUGUGAGAAGAACAAAUCUCCCCUUCUGAAGCCAGAUCAGCUCCAGGACCCAUCCCACAUGCAUCCUUCUGCCUUUUAAUGAUCUCUAUGCAUGCUGGGAAGACAUCUACUGCAGCUGUUUUCAAGGUUCGGGUGUUGCACCUGUAGGAAUAAGAAGAUACCAGAGCCCAGGGAAGCAGAGAAGAGAAAUACAGCCAAAACAAGGUGUCUUCUGCUAAGAGCUCAUUGGAGAGCUCUGAGAGAGCCAGCUGUAAUGAGAGCAUGGGCUAAUUAAAUAAAUAUUGGAAGACUGGGGUUCAAAACCCCCAAAUCUACUCCUUACUACCUUGAGGUAUGGGGAAUUACAUUCAAUAAACAUGUAUUCUUUAUUAUUGGGGUAGUAUUU